ACCAAGAACUCUCCCUCUUCUAAUAUAAAUCCUACUUUGUGUUCAGUUAUAGCUCAUUUCUCCCCAAUUCUACAGCCGAACAUCUUUAGUUUAGUUAUAGUGUUUAGUCGUCGAGUUUAUUCCACCUCUCUUGAGGAAGAUUUAGUUGUGAAUUUGCUAACUCAUGGUCUUUGGGCUUCAUAGUCUAAAGAAUGGUUUGAUGUCCAAAGAUCAUGAUCAUUUUGCUUUUGAAGAAUUGAGAUAGUGUUAUUAAGGUAACCUUGCUAUUAUAGAUAUUUCUCUAACUAAAAAUUUUAUUCCAUUCUUAUCUAGAAAAUUUCUCCAUUUACGAUCAGAUGAAGCCAAAAUAUACUUGGAUCAUAUUGGUUUAUACCCUUGCAAACUCGACCCAAAAACCCUAGCCGCCACCCUUGCAAACUAGACUCAAAAACCUUAGCCGCCACCCUUGCAAGUUAUGCCAUUUCCAGUGGUCGGCUAGUUUCAACAUGCCGACCGCUAGCCCCUCUUUCAUUUCUCAUUUAUCUCCCUUUCUCUCAUUCUCUCUCUCCAUCUUUUCCGAUCACUCUGUCUCUUUUUCUCUUUGGCUUCUAGCAUAGUUGCUAGUCAAAUUAGGUAGUCACUAGCUAGAUCGGGCCAUUGCUAGGGCCAUCCAAUCUUCAACAUCUUUCUUUUCUCUUUAUUUAUCCUUCUCUCUUGAUGUAUCACCUUCUUUUCUAUCUAGAUUUUGGUCUAGUUGCUGAUUAGAUCAGACCAUCAUCGUUCAGAUUUAGCUAUUGCCGAUCGCUAGCUGACCACCUCUCCCCUCUUUCCUCUCUCUUCUUUUAUUGUUUUCUCCUUCUCUGUCUCUAUUCCCCUAUCUCCCUCGUUCAUUCUCCUUUCUUCGGCUUCUGGUGUGGUAGCUGCUCAGAUCUGGACAUCACUGGCCAGAUCUGGUGGCUGUUGGUGAUGGCUAUAUCUAGUGGCUGCUGUUGUGGGUUAGCAACGACAAUGGGGUAGCAGUUGUGACGACUAAAGGCAAUAACCGUGAUAUUGUGCAACAUCGAGAAUAAUAAUUGUUGUGGAUGGCUAUGUUAAGAGUUGUGGAGGUGAUGUUUGGGCACCAAGUUGAGGAUGUUGGCGAGGGCAGAAAGCUUUGGACAUCAAGAUAAGGUGGUCGAGGUCAAUUUUCUUCGAAGAAUAUCUGAAACUGACACGAAAGAUAAGAAGCCCGAGAAGCUAGAGUUGAUUUAUGGGGCUCUGGAGAGGGCUCAUAUUUGGCAGAUGGUGCAUCAUCGGAGUGAAUUACUAAUAUUGAACUCGUUUGUUAGAAGGUAAACUAUUGGAAUUAAAGAUUUUGCUGCAUUA